GUAGGGAAUCUUCGGCAAUGGGGGCAACCCUGACCGAGCAACGCCGCGUGAGUGAAGAAGGUUUUCGGAUCGUAAAACUCUGUUGGUAGAGAAGAACGUUGGUGAGAGUGGAAAGCUCAUCAAGUGACGGUAACUACCCAGAAAGGGACGGCUAACUACGUGCCAGCAGCCGCGGUAAUACGUAGGUCCCGAGCGUUAUCCGGAUUUAUUGGGCGUACAGCGAGCGCAGACGGUUGAUUAAGUCUGAUGUGAAAGCCCGGAGCUCAACUCCGGAAUGGCAUUGGAAACUGGUUAACUUGAGUGCAGGAGAGGAGAGUGGAAUUCCAUGUGUAGCGGUGAAAUGCGUAGAUAUAUGGAGGAACACCGGUGGCGAAAGCGGCUCUCUGGCCUGUAACUGACACUGAGGCUCGAAAGCGUGGGGAGCAAACAGGAUUAGAUACCCGGGUAGUCC
rnacentral:rRNA from 1 species